CCUCCCAGAUCCAAUCCAAGUCAGAGCCCGUCGGCCACCUCCAUCUCCAUUCCUACGCGCGUCGGCCACCUCCCUGCGGCGGAGCUCGACCCCAAAACGAAACGAAACCCACCGCCGCCGCCUUUGUCUCCCCAACCAACCACAACCCACCGGCGACCUCCUCCCACUCUCCCUCGCCUCCCCUCCCGUCCUCUUGUCUCCCUACUAGGCCCCAGAUCGACUCGGCCUUCUCCUUCUCAGGCCACGACCAGAUCCGCUCCGGCGUUCCCGCAUCGGCGCCAUCAUGGACCUCCUCAUCAAGCAUCCGCCCGUCCCAUCCUCCCUCCCUCGCGCAGCAGCCAAACCCUCCCUCCCUCCCCUUCGCCGCCGACGAUGGCCGCCGCGGCGAAGAAGACGGCCGAGGAGAUCCACCGCGAGCUCCAAGAGCUGCAGCGCCAGCACCGCGAGCGAGCACCUACGUGACCCCCAAGGCCUCCGACGCGGCGUCCCCGCCACCGGCCCCGGCCCCGGCCCCGGAGGCCCCCGCCCGCUCCGCGGCUUUGCCAGACCCGCCCCGGAGCCGGUGGACCAGCCCGAGCCCAAGCGCCGGCUUCUUUCUGCCGUGGUUAAAGUGGAUGGCCCUGGAACUAAUGGGGAUGAUGCGGCGGCGGAGGGGCGUGAGGAUGGACCAAAUGCUGCUCAAGGUGGUGAGAGGAGGGAAGCCAGUAAUGGUGGGUUCAGGAGGGAUGGGAGCCAGUGGGUAUCCAGGAGGGAGCUUGAUAAUCAGCUGCCAGAGCCUCUCCCGAGGCCGGCUCCCAAGGAAGAGGAUCAGAGCUUGGUGAGGAGGAACAAGAGAAUGCUGGGGAAGCUUCUUGUUGGCACGCUAGAGGUGAACGUUCCGAAGACCAAGAAGACCUACUGCAAGAACAAGGAGUGCAAGAAGCACACCCUCCACAAGGUUACCUAGUACAAGAAAGAUGUUUGAAACCUCUUAACCGUGGACGACAACUACUUGAGAAGGACCAUCAUCACCCAUCAAGUACGCCAUUGAGGGCGUCCGUGGAAGGCCCAGUCCUGACUCUCUAGUGAGCCAACAUUUGAUCGCUAUUGAAGGAGCUACAUGUAGAAGAAGAAAAUACUUGUAGAGCUUGUAACUGAUUCCCAUAGUUGUAGAGCUUGUAUCAACUAAGCUUGUAUUACGUGUAACUUGUAGAACUUGUAAAUGCUACAGCUUGUAGGACGUGUCAUUUGUAGAGCUUGUAAAUAAGCUUGUAUAUGCUACAGCUUGUAGGACGUGUCAUUUGUAGAGCUUGUAUUGAAUCUGGCUAUUGUUAUUUGAA